UGAGUGUUAUGAUGAUGGAAUAGAAUCUCUAUUCUUAGUCUAGCUCUGGUCUACCGCUAGGAUUCUUUCCUAGCGG
rfam:Streptococcus sanguinis SK36, complete genome.